CGGGUGUGGAAAACUAUGUAGCAGCAGUAUUAUGAUAGAAAAUGUGUGCAGGUGAAUUUGAAACUAUGAUGUUACUGAUCCAUAUAUACAUAGGAGUUAGUGUUUUUGUUUUGUGGCUGUUGUGAGGGUUUAGGAAGCAGCAACCAACGGGUAUUGAGUGGAUGAUUUAACAGUAUUGUCUGAUAGAAGUGAAGGUAAGAACAAGUAACAAGUACCUAGAAGAAAUGAUAACACGGUUAUGAUUGAAACAAUAAUAAUCCAGAUGUUUAGAUUAAAGCAGAUAGAAAACGACCAUGGAAGGGGAAAAGAAAGAGAAGCAUGGAGGAAUUGAAGUGAAGGCAAGUAACAUGGGAACACACACACUUUAUUCACCUGACACAUUGGAUAUGUACUUUAGUUCCUGUGGAGUGGGGUGUGUUCUUCACGCCAUCUUAUUCAUCUUCUACUUAGUGGAUAAAGAUAGCAUCCUCGCUCCUCUUUCGGGUGUCACUCUUAUGAUGAAAGCUUUUCAGUUUAUUCCUUAGCACCCCACACACCAACCCCGCCUACUUCACCAAUAUCUCUUCAAACUUUCAAACAACAAUUCAUAAUAUUCAUUCUUUCUUUCCCUUCUAAUAAAGCUUAUAUAUGCUCCAUUCUCCC
rnacentral:lncRNA from 1 species